UCGAGAAUUUUUCACAAUGGGCGCAAGCCUGAUGGAGCGACGCCGCGUGGGGGAUGAAUGGCUUCGGCCCGUAAACCCCUGUCAUUCGCGAUCAAACGUUGGUAUUUAAAAGAUGCCAGCCUGAUAGUAGCGGAAGAGGAAGGGACGGCUAACUCUGUGCCAGCAGCCGCGGUAAUACAGAGGUCCCGAGCGUUGUUCGGAAUCACUGGGCGUAAAGGGUGCGUAGGUGGUGAGGUAAGUCGGAUGUGAAAGCUCGGAGCUCAACUCCGAAAUGGCAUUGGAAACUACCUUGCUUGAGGAUUGGAAGGGGGACUGGAAUGCUUGGUGUAGCAGUGAAAUGCGUAGAUAUCAAGCGGAACACCAGUGGCGAAGGCGAGUCCCUGGACAACACCUGACACUGAGGCACGAAAGCUAGGGGAGCAAACAG
rnacentral:rRNA from 1 species